rnacentral:tRNA from 1 species
AACAUCACGCCGGCAUGAACGGACUAUAUUGAUGCUGUAGAAUAUAAGAUUAUACUUAAUCUUUGAUGUUU